CCUCACCAGAGAUUCGCAGUAACAAUUUGGUACACCAGGUAGGAGGCCAAAGAAGCUUCUUAAUGGGAGUCAUGGCCAACACGAGAGCACAGAAUACUUUGGCCAAUUCUACCAAACGUUCAUCCCAACGUGAGGCACUUUCGGUGACCAAUGUCGAACCUAGUGCUUCACAUCCGAUGGUCACGGCGAACCAAUAGCAAUUUACUACCUUGGUGCAGCAGGUGAAAAUUUUGACGGAAGCUAUUCACAUACUACGGAACAGUAACAGCAGCAGCAA
rnacentral:lncRNA from 1 species